GCCCUUAUGAUUUGGGCUACACACGUGCUACAAUGGACAAUACAAAGGGCAGCGAAACCGCGAGGUCAAGCAAAUCCCAUAAAGUUGUUCUCAGUUCGGAUUGUAGUCUGCAACUCGACUACAUGAAGCUGGAAUCGCUAGUAAUCGUAGAUCAGCAUGCUACGGUGAAUACGUUCCCGGGUCUUGUACACACCGCCCGUCACACCACGAGAGUUUGUAACACCCGAAGCCGGUGGAGUAACCAUUUGGAGCUAGCCGUCGAAGGUGGGACAAAUGAUUGGGGUGAAGUCGUAACAAGGUAGCCGUAUCGGAAGGUGCGGUUGGAUCACCUCC
rnacentral:rRNA from 1 species